GACAGAGGAGGCGAGCGUUAUCCGGAGUUAUUGGGCGUAAAGGGUACGUAGGCGGCUGGUCAAGUCUGGGGUCAAAGGCCACAGCUCAACUGUGGGAAGGCCUUGGAAACUGACCGGCUGGAGUGGGGCAGGGGUUGCGGGAAUUCCCGGUGUAGCGGUGAAAUGCGUAGAUAUCGGGAAGAACACCUGAGGCGAAAGCGCGCAACUGGGCCCUAACUGACGCUGAGGUACGAAAGCUAGGGGAGCGAAUGGG
rnacentral:rRNA from 1 species